ACUUUAGAAUGCAACACAAUAAGAGGAAAGCGAAGCCUAGUUAAGCGGGUGAGCGGAACUGUUUUCAUUUGAAAUUGAAUCAAAGUGUCAGCUUAGACUUAUGAGAGGGAGGUUCCAUGGGCGGAGUCACAAGUCUCAAGGGGGAGUGUAGGUAGAAGAGAAGAGACUUUCUGAGGGGAAGCAUCAACCCAGGUUUUGCGUCUUCCUGUUGGUGUUGGAAAUCUAUUUUGUAACAUAUUCCGAAUGUCAUUAGAAUGGCUAGUUGGACCCUUGCUUAUCGCUG
rnacentral:lncRNA from 1 species